GUUAACAACAUAUUAAUAUAUGAAUUACACUCUCAUGGUACUAGUUUAUUGGCAGUAAUCAAAUUUAAAAGUUAAUUUAUUUCAAUUAUAUCUGAUGAUUCAGCAUUUAAUAUUGAAGAGUCAGGUUACAUAAUAUUAAAACACUCAAAAUAAUAAUAAAAUAAAAUACUCCUAAUAAUUAACAAUAUGAAAUAUUAUGUUUUACAUUAUACACUAAAAAUAAUUGUGUACUUUGAUUAUCGACCCUUUUGUUUGAUUAUAGUACUUACUAGAGAACAGCCCAUCUUAUAAAAAUGAAAUCGGACCAGACCAAAUAUUUUAGACAGCUUGUUUAACUAGAUUAGACCCAAUUCCUAAAAUAAAUUUUUCAACCCACACCAAUUUAAACCAAGCUCACAAAUUUUUUCAAAGCCCGGAUCAGCCCAGUUCGGAUUAUGUAUUUAAAAAAAAAAAAACGACCAGGAUAAAUAUAGUGAUUUAGAAUCCUAACUAGAUUGUCAACAUAAAACAAAUUAAUUAGAAACCAAAUAAAAAUAUGUUAUUUAAUUGACUAAUCAUCAAAUUAAGUAUUAAUCUGUAUUAUAUUUUUUAUUAU